CACUGACACAUAUGGUCACUACAGACAAACUCACUGACACACGCGCUCACUACAGACAAGCUCACUGACACAUAUGGUCACUACAGACAAGCUCACUGACACACACGCUCACUGACACACACGCUCACUGACACACACGCUCACUGACACACACGCUCACUACAGACAAGCUCACUGACACACACGCUCACUACAGACAAGCCCACGAUCACACCCAUACUCCUUACAGACAAGAGCUCACUAACACACACA